GUUGAGUUCAGAAUGACAAUAGACUUUCAUUGAAAAUGAAGCAGUUUGUUAUUGUAUAUCUCUGUCUCUGUACAUUGGCUUUGUACACCAUUGUAAAUGCAGAUGGAGGCACAAUUCCAAAUUGUUGUCUGAAGGUGUCUAAUACAGUUCUGUCCAUAAAUCAAGUCAGUAGUCAUUAUUUACAAGAAAAGGAUGGACGAUGCCCGGUUGAUGCUGUUGUAUUCAGCACAGUUAAAGGAAAGAUAGUCUGUUCUGAUCGCAAAAGACCCUGGGUAAAGAGAGUAAUCAAACAACUCAUUGAAAACCAGAAGCAGAAAAUGACAACCAAAAUCCCAGUUUAUCAAUCAACACAAGAAUAUCCAAGUACUGCAGGAAAUACUUUAGUGACACGAGGACAACAGUAUUCCGAUACUCCGGACUGCUAAUCAAGUGGUGUUUAUAUAUUAGUUUAAAUUCCUUUGUAAUCAUAUAUUUAUUAUGCAAUAUUAAAUGAAAAAUCAGAUCAUAUUAUAUUUAUCUUAUUAGAUUUCCUAAUAAUAAAUGCAUUGGUGCCAAUAUUACUCAUUCAGUAAUUCAGUAACUGUAAUAAAUCAUACCAUCCAUACUUACAAUCAAGACUUUUCUACACUAAAUGUAUUAUUUUCAGUUUUUUAGGACUAAUGGUAAAUUACGUGUAUUGUCACACAUUGAACGUUUGCUUAUUUAAAUGAAUAGCAAGUCAAUAUCUAAAUGAAUAAAAAGUCAAUAUUUAUGGUCUUCACUGUAUGUAGUUAAUCCAAAGGAGUCCAUCUUAAAUCUGAAAUCGGUAAUGUUUUUCCAUAUUACAAGUUCUCAUGACACAGAUGAUAAAAUACUUAUGUAUUUGGUUGUCACAAUAAGCUUUAUAUUGACAAGAAUGUAUUUCGUUUUUUGUUGCUCGCUGGCCUCUGUGUUAGAAUUGAACGCUACCUACUGUAUGUAUGUUGUGAAUGUAUGUAAAUAUAAGCCACUUACAGGUAUUUGUUAUGGAACAGUUAUUUAAAUAAAUUAUUUGAACAAUU